UUCGUAGGCGGCGCGGCAAGUCGGGAGUGAAAUCUCUGGGCUUAACUCAGAGGCUGCUUCCGAAACUGCCGUGCUCGAGUGUGGGAGAGGCGCGUGGAAUUGCAGGUGUAGCGGUGAAAUGCGUAGAUAUCUGCAGGAACACCCGUGGCGAAAGCGGCGCGCUGGACCACAACUGACGCUGAGGAACGAAAGCUAGGGGAGCAAACAGGAUUAGAUACCCUGGUAGUCCUAGCCCUAAACGAUCAGGACUUGGGGUGGCUUCCGUUCGGAAGUCGUCCCGGAGCUAACGCGUUAAGUCCUGCACCUGGGGAGUACGGUCGCAAGACUGAA
rnacentral:rRNA from 1 species